GGGUUGUGAGGUUAAGCGACUAAGCGUACACGGUGGAUGCCCUGGCAGUCAGAGGCGAUGAAGGACGUGCUAAUCUGCGAAAAGCGUCGGUAAGGUGAUAUGAACCGUUAUAACCGGCGAUGUCCGAAUGGGGAAACCCAGUGCAAUUCGUUGCACUAUCGUUAACUGAAUACAUAGGUUAACGAGGCGAACCGGGGGAACUGAAACAUCUAAGUACCCCGAGGAAAAGAAAUCAACCGAGAUUCCCCCAGUAGCGGCGAGCGAACGGGGAGCAGCCCAGAGUCUGAAUCAGCUUGUGUGUUAGUGGAACGGUCUGGAAAGUCCGACGGUACAGGGUGAUAGUCCCGUACACCAAAAUGCACAGGUUGUGAACUCGAAGAGUAGGGCGGGACACGUGGUAUCCUGUCUGAAUAUGGGGGGACCAUCCUCCAAGGCUAAAUACUCCUGACUGACCGAUAGUGAACCAGUACCGUGAGGGAAAGGCGAAAAGAACCCCGGCGAGGGGAGUGAAAAAGAACCUGAAACCGUGUACGUACAAGCAGUGGGAGCACCUUCGGGUGUGACUGCGUACCUUUUGUAUAAUGGGUCAGCGACUUAUAUUCUGUAGCAAGGUUAACCGUAUAGGGGAGCCGCAGGGAAACCGAGUCUUAACUGGGCGUUAAGUUGCAGGGUAUAGACCCGAAACCCGGUGAUCUAGCCAUGGGCAGGUUGAAGGUUGGGUAACACUAACUGGAGGACCGAACCGACUAAUGUUGAAAAAUUAGCGGAUGACUUGUGGCUGGGGGUGAAAGGCCAAUCAAACCGGGAGAUAGCUGGUUCUCCCCGAAAGCUAUUUAGGUAGCGCCUCGUGAACUCAUCUUCGGGGGUAGAGCACUGUUUCGGCUAGGGGGUCAUCCCGACUUACCAACCCGAUGCAAACUACGAAUACCGAAGAAUGUUAUCACGGGAGACACACGGCGGGUGCUAACGUCCGUCGUGAAGAGGGAAACAACCCAGACCGCCAGCUAAGGUCCCAAAGUCAUGGUUAAGUGGGAAACGAUGUGGGAAGGCACAGACAGCCAGGAUGUUGGCUUAGAAGCAGCCAUCAUUUAAAGAAAGCGUAAUAGCUCACUGGUCGAGUCGGCCUGCGCGGAAGAUGUAACGGGGCUAAACCAUGCACCGAAGCUGCGGCAGCGACACUAUGUGUUGUUGGGUAGGGGAGCGUUCUGUAAGCCUGCGAAGGUGACCUGUGAGGGUUGCUGGAGGUAUCAGAAGUGCGAAUGCUGACAUAAGUAACGAUAAAGCGGGUGAAAAGCCCGCUCGCCGGAAGACCAAGGGUUCCUGUCCAACGUUAAUCGGGGCAGGGUGAGUCGACCCCUAAGGCGAGGCCGAAAGGCGUAGUCGAUGGGAAACAGGUUAAUAUUCCUGUACUUGGUGUUACUGCGAAGGGGGGACGGAGAAGGCUAUGUUAGCCGGGCGACGGUUGUCCCGGUUUAAGCAUGUAGGCUGGUUGUCCAGGCAAAUCCGGAUAAUCAAGGCUGAGGUGUGAUGACGAGGCACUACGGUGCUGAAGUAACAAAUGCCCUGCUUCCAGGAAAAGCCUCUAAGCAUCAGGUAACAUCAAAUCGUACCCCAAACCGACACAGGUGGUCAGGUAGAGAAUACCAAGGCGCUUGAGAGAACUCGGGUGAAGGAACUAGGCAAAAUGGUGCCGUAACUUCGGGAGAAGGCACGCUGGUGUGUAGGUGAAGUCCCUGCGGAUGGAGCUGAGACCAGUCGAAGAUACCAGCUGGCUGCAACUGUUUAUUAAAAACACAGCACUGUGCAAACACGAAAGUGGACGUAUACGGUGUGACGCCUGCCCGGUGCCGGAAGGUUAAUUGAUGGGGUUAUCCGUAAGGAGAAGCUCUUGAUCGAAGCCCCGGUAAACGGCGGCCGUAACUAUAACGGUCCUAAGGUAGCGAAAUUCCUUGUCGGGUAAGUUCCGACCUGCACGAAUGGCGUAAUGAUGGCCAGGCUGUCUCCACCCGAGACUCAGUGAAAUUGAACUCGCUGUGAAGAUGCAGUGUACCCGCGGCAAGACGGAAAGACCCCGUGAACCUUUACUAUAGCUUGACACUGAACAUUGAGCCUUGAUGUGUAGGAUAGGUGGGAGGCUUUGAAGCGUGGACGCCAGUCUGCGUGGAGCCAACCUUGAAAUACCACCCUUUAAUGUUUGAUGUUCUAACGUUGGCCCCUGACCGGGGUUGCGGACAGUGUCUGGUGGGUAGUUUGACUGGGGCGGUCUCCUCCCAAAGCGUAACGGAGGAGCACGAAGGUUAGCUAAUCCUGGUCGGACAUCAGGAGGUUAGUGCAAUGGCAUAAGCUAGCUUGACUGCGAGCGUGACGGCGCGAGCAGGUGCGAAAGCAGGUCAUAGUGAUCCGGUGGUUCUGAAUGGAAGGGCCAUCGCUCAACGGAUAAAAGGUACUCCGGGGAUAACAGGCUGAUACCGCCCAAGAGUUCAUAUCGACGGCGGUGUUUGGCACCUCGAUGUCGGCUCAUCACAUCCUGGGGCUGAAGUAGGUCCCAAGGGUAUGGCUGUUCGCCAUUUAAAGUGGUACGCGAGCUGGGUUUAGAACGUCGUGAGACAGUUCGGUCCCUAUCUGCCGUGGGCGCUGGAGAAUUGAGGGGGGCUGCUCCUAGUACGAGAGGACCGGAGUGGACGCAUCACUGGUGUUCGGGUUGUCAUGCCAAUGGCACUGCCCGGUAGCUAAAUGCGGAAGAGAUAAGUGCUGAAAGCAUCUAAGCACGAAACUUGCCCCGAGAUGAGUUCUCCCUGAGACU
rnacentral:rRNA from 1 species